rnacentral:lncRNA from 1 species
CCCACAAAUUCGUGGAGGUGGGGGACUUAAUCGAUUACAAACCAAUUCGAUUCUCAGCAACAACAUCAACGAUCUGCUAGAAAUAGCAGCUAAAUUUCCAUCGUUGUACAAAGUUCUUUCUGUAAUGAGUUCAAAUCCCGCCGAGGUCUAGUUUGACUUUCAUCCUUUCAGGGGCGAGCUGACAGAAAUGUUAGCACGCCGGGCGAAAUGCUUAGCAGUAUUUCGUCUGCCUUUACGUUCUGAGUUCAAAUUCCGCUGAGGUCGACUUUGCUUUUCAUCCUUUCGGGGUCGAUAAAUUAAGUACCAGUUACGCACUGGGGUCGAUGUAAUCGACUUAAUCCGUUUGUCUGUUCUUGUUUGUCCUCUCUGUGUUUAGCCCCUUGUUGGUAGUAACGAAAUAGGUAUUUCGUCUGCCUUUACGUUCUGAGUUCAAAUUCCGCCGAAGUCGGCUUUGCCUUUCAUCCUUUCGGGGUCGAUUAAAUAAGUACCAGUUGCGUACUGAGUUCGAUCUAAUCAACUGCCCCCCUCCCCAAAAAUUUCGGGCCUUGUGCCUGGAGUACGAAAGGAUUCAAUAAAAUAAAAGAAACGUUCAGGCCUUGUGUCUCAGAAGUUUUAGUGAUAGCAAUAAAAGCAACAGGAAAGCUUCUGAGAGGUGGAAGAAUGGCUGUUGUAGCAUACAUGCCUUUCUCUAAGAACAUUAAAGUUUGUCGUUUCGACGAGGCUACUCACGCUCUCUCGUAAGUCCAGAUUAAGAGUCACAGGAACGGAAUGAACACCACCACCACCACGCAACUCAACGAAUAAAGUCCGGUGGGAGGAAAAUUUUAAUUCGGUUUGCAGUUGACUGCUGGGAAAAAUAAAACUAGGCGAGACAUUCUCUUUGUGUAAGUAGUAGUAGUAGUAGUAGUAGUAGUAGUAGUAGUGGCAGCAGCAGCAGCAGCAGCAGCAGCAGCAGCAGCAGCAGCAAUGGCAGUAACAACUGAGUGAAUACAGUUGUAGUAAUCAAGUUAUAACAGUAGCAGUUGAUUUUUUUUUGUGUGAUUAUAUCGGGAAAGCAGACGAUACUGCUUCAGUACUAUGAUAGUAGUAGUAGUAGUAGUAGUAGUAGUAGUAGUAGUAGUAGUAGUAGUAGUAGUAGUAGUAGUAGUGGUGGUGGUGGUGGUGGUGGUGGUGGUAGUAGUAGUAGUAGUAGUAGUAGUAGUAGUAGUAGUAGUAGUAGUAGUAGUAGUAGUGGUAGUAGUGGUGGUGGUGCUGGUGGUAGUAGUAGUAGUAGUAGUAGUAGUAGUAGUAGUAGUAGUAGUAGUGGUAGUAGUGGUAGUAGUAGUAGUAGUAGUAGUAGUAGUAAUGGUGGUGGUGGUGGUGGUGGUGGUAGUAGUAGUAGUAGUAGUAGUAGUAGUAGUAGUGGUAGUAGUGGUAGUAGUGGUGGUGGUGGUGGUAGUAGUAGUAGUAGUAGUAGUAGUAGUAGUAGUAGUGGUAGUAGUGGUAGUAGUAGUAGUAGUAGUAGUAGUAGUAGUAGUAGUAGUAGUAGUAGUAGUAUCAAGUGUAAUAAUUAACAAAUUGGUAAAUUUGAUUAUUUUAUCGGCGGUUAAUUAUUCUUUGGCAGAAUCGUCAGAGCGGUCGAGGAAAAUUAAUCUGCAGUUUAAGCUCUCUCUCUUUACGUUUUCAGUUCAAAUCUCACCAGGGUCGACUUCGCCGUUCAUUGAUAUCGGGAUCGAUAAAAUAAAACAGCAAUCCAAUCACAUGCUAAGGUUGGCUGGCAUAAGCCACGGUUCCUUUCCCUCAAAACCUUUGCCCUUGUGCCUAUGCUAGAAAUUUGUGAUCAUUACUUACUACCAUGAAGUAAACUGCAGCGACAGCAGCAGCAGCAGCAGCAGCAGUAGUAGUAGUAGUAGUAGUAGUAGUAGUAGUAGUAGUAGUAGUAGCGCAGAUGAUUCGAAGCACUACUUUUAUUGACCAGAUUUAUCAAGUCGAGCCAGAAUAUGAAUGUUGGUAAGGCCUCUGUGUCGGGUUAUGAUGUGGUGAGUCAGAUUACAGACAGAAGGAGUGGGAGGAAAGUGUCAGUAGAAAGCAGGAGUGUUGGUGAGAGAGGUAAGUGAUAAACACUCAAAGGAAAUGUUUACCCUCAGCUUCUCUUUUUGUAUCACAACUGUUAAGAUAAGAAGGAAGGGCUUGUGAUUCAGCGGCCUUGAGUGUGGCUGUACUUAUUUUUGGUGGUGAGCGAUAUCGCAGUUCACACCCACACUUUCGUAUAACCCUACCCCACUAAACGAGUUUCAGGAUUAGAGACAUAAGGCGGCAAGCUGGCAGAAACGUUAGCACGCCGGGCGAAGCGCUUUGCAGUAUUUCGUCUGCCGCUCCGUUCUGAGUUCAAAUUCCGCUGAGGUCGACUUUGCCUUUCAUCCUUUCGGGAUCGAUUAAAUAAGUACCAGUUACGCACUGGGGUCGAUAUAUUCGACUUAAUCCGUUUGUCUGUCCUUGUUUGUCCUCUCUGUGUUUAGCCCCUUGUGGGUAGUAAAGAAAUAGGAUUAGAGAUACGUACCACAUUCUGCCAGAGAUUCGGUUCCACAACCUUUCCCCGUGAUAAAAAGGAAAUGAUUGUCUUAGAGGAAAAGGGUUCAGGGAUUGUAGAUAUUAGUCUGCGUUUAUAGACUCCAAAUAUAUUAUGAAUAUAUGAAUGUCGUCUCUCAGCGAUUAUAUUCACGAAUAUUGUUUCGGGCAUAGUUAUCUCGCGGAUUGUUGGCAAUAUACACAGUGGAGAAAAGAAUGGCUGAGACGAACUGAGGAAAAAUCUACAACUCUUAUAUAUGCAUUCAAGAUUUUCAUGAAUACUAAUUGACAAAGGAGCUCCGCGUUUUGUAACAAGAGAUGAGUGUAAACGUCUAGAAAUGCUGGGAUUUUCCAAGAAAUAAUAAAACAAACUCAUUUGUAUCUUAUAGAUAGAGUGGAUUAGUAAAAUCCUUCAGGAAUUCUCCUUUUGAGAUUCCUGGAAUGAAUGCAAGUGCAUAUGCUUUACAUACACAUAUAAACAAUAAGGAAAUACGAGCUCUUAUGUACAAAAGUGUCAUGCAUACGCAUUACGUAAGUGCAAGGCUCGCCAAUUUGUUUAAUGAGUGGUUUGGAUUAUACGAAAGGAAACCGUAAAUCUCAAAGAAACUAAUUUUCUCUCUCUCUCUCUCACACACACACACACACACGCACGCACACACACACACACACACACACACACACACACACACAUGCAUACAUACUUAUGGUUAUUCUUCUAUUAGUCUCAUUCAUUAGACGGUGGUUAUGUUUAGGCACCGCCUUCGGAGAUUAUUAGUUGAUCACAGUGACCCCAAUAUUUAUUACUGACAACUACAUAUUUUUCGUUCCAUAUUUACCAAUUAACGUAAUAUAUUUUUACAUACCUUCUUUUAAUCAGCAGAGCAGUGUCAAGCACAUGGCUACGUUUCUCCUCUGUUUUCGUGUAUGUUUGUAUUUAUGUGUGUACGUGCGUGUGUAUAUAUGGGCGUCUGUAUAUAUAUAUAUAUAUAUAUAUAUAUAUAUAUACGCCCAUAUAUACACACGCACGUACACACAUAAAUACAAACAUACAUAUAUAUAUAUAUAUAUAUAUGUGUGUGUGUGUGUGUGUGUGUGUGUGUGUGUGUGUGUGUGUGUGUGUGUGUGUGCGUAUAGCAGAGCGAUACAGCGUGUAUUUGUAUGUGAAAGGUAGAAACAGAAUAUAUACAUGUAUGUACCCAGUGUGAAUGUGUAUGUGUAAUAUAUCACACUCAUGCACUCAACUAUGAUCCCACUACAUUUUAUAGAAGAAACGGCUGUAAGCAAAUGAAGUUCAUAAGAUAACUCUUUAUUCUUUUGUCAUCUCAUUUUUCUUCUUAUUACCAUUCUGUACUCGACCAACGCUUCCUUCUGAUGCGCAUGCAUAUUGAAUUCUAUGCUAGGUUGUUAGUAUCACAAUGCCUAAGCGUAAGACAUACAUGCAUGUGUGUGUGUGUGUGCCACAGAACCCCCCCUCCAACAACAACAAAAAAAAAGAAGCAUCAAUAUCUAAACGUUAUCUAGACUUAAUAUGAUUAUCUAUGAAGAAAAACAACCAAUCUCAAAGUAAAUAAUCUCCAUAAACCAUGAAUCCACAAGCACAACUUUACUAGAAUGGAGGACAAUUCAGAAUUACGAGGCUAGGACAUAAAAAAACAUUCACAAGCAAGCAUAACGAAUAUGUAUUCUCAUUAUCAGCUGCCAAACGAAAUCAGGAUGGUUUCGACACCUGGGCAGGACCAUUCAAUCCGGCGGCGUCAACAGCGUUCGCAACAUAAACGCUGCCUGAGAGAAUCAACUGUAAUCAGCAGAAGCGAAACAAUAACAAAGUAUGUCCAUUGCAUCAACAUCUGCCAAUUGCCACAAGCAGCAACAUCAAAACAAACGAUUAAGAUUAACUCAGGCUUACAAAAUAGUAUGUAACCUAUAAAACGAAACACUCCCAGAAAGUACAUUGUGAUCCUGAAAUUAUAAUACAAACGAAGAAGGGAACUAAACAUUCUAAGGAAAAACUAUUCAACCACCGAUACUCGACACGAUAACACUAACCCAAGAAUCAGCAAACCAAGGACUUAAAAUAUAUAGACUAUACAACGAACGUAGACUACUAGACAGUUUCUCAAUCAAUGUCACAAACAUGAUACCACACCAAAAUGAAGCUUAAUAAAAACUAGCGUGGAUCUAUUAACCAACGUCCUUGAACAAUAUAUAAAGGAAAAGACAAGCAUAGAUCAAUAUCUAUAAAAUAUGUUCAAUAUUAUAAAAUAAGUCAACCGAAUAGAUUGCUAAUUAAAAGUAAAAAAAUAAUUGUAAAAAGAAUAAAAAUUUUAAAUAAAAAUGGAAUUAGAAUCAAAUUAAAUUAAAAAUUAUUUAUAAGAUAUAUGAUCAAUAAAGACAAGGCAAAAACUACCUAACUAAAACAAGUAACUAAUAAAAUGUCCCAACUGCAAACAAACUAAAUAAUCCAUUAUUCAUGAAACGGCCUACGCGCUUGUUACCUGAGAAUAACUCAUGAUGAAAUAUAUGAAUGAACGAGCGUGGAAGGAAAAUUGUAGUCAACCUAAGGAAAAUUGUAAUCGAAUACUAAAGGCAGAGUUAAAUGUAAGGUUUCAAUGAAACUGAAAAACAUUAAAAACAUAAACGUUACUCUGGAUUCUCUCUGUGCUGAUCAUCAGGCAGGAGUGAACUUUUGAAAUAUUGCAAAGGUUUUUAAUUCCUCAUUGAGAAUCAGAAGGCAAAUAAGCAUUUAAAGUUUAUUGGGCAGGUGGUUAUCAAAUUUCAAACUCGAAGGAAUCUGCCGAGUGAAUCGAGCGAACUUUGACAUAAGUAAUGUAAAUAUAAUUAAAGGGGAACGAACUGGCGACGGAAAACAGACAGAAUAAGCUCUGCUGCUAGUGAAGAUGUCAGGUGGAAACCAAGGUAGACUUAGAGGAAUAAAAUGAAUGAGUAUAUCUGUUCUGGACGAUGAAUGUAGACGAGAGAGUUUUUUCUCAGAAAAGGGAGAGGCGGAGCCGAAAAAGGAGAGUGAUUAAGAAAGGUGUGGAGACGAGAAAGGUUCUAGAUCAUUGAAAUAUUGAUUUCAAAUUUUAGCACCAGGCCAGUAAUUUUAAAACCACCGAUACUCGACACGAUAACACUAACCCAAGAAUCAGCAAAACAAGGACUUAAAAUAUAUAGACUAUACAACGAACGUAGACUACUAGACAGUUUCUCAAUCUAUGUCACAAACAUGAUACCACACCAAAAUGAAGCUUAAUAAAAACAAGCAUGAAUCUUUUAACCAACGUCCUUGAACAAUAUAUAAAGGAAAAGACAAGCAUAGAUCAAUAUCUAUAAAAUAUGUUCAAUAUUAUAAAAUAAGUCAACCGAAUAGAUUGCUAAUUAAAAGUAUAUUUAUGCAUGAAAAAGAGGGGUAGUGAGGAAACUGUGAUCAAUGUAGCUACCCUAUAAUUCUGGAGUGGGACCAGUGUAGUGGGAAAAGAUGUGAUCGACAAAGAAGUUUAUGUAGGCGGGAACCAUUCUGAAAAUGGAAACUGUUUAACCUGGUGACGGCAGGUCACGACGUACAUGUCAACAGUGUGAGGGCUAAGCAGGUUAGAGUUUGACAUCCAGUGAGAUGGUCGAUGUCCUGCAUCCAUGAAGAAAGACAGGUUGUUAGGUGCGGAGAAGGGCCUUAUGAAAAGGCAUCAGUAACAGGUUCCAUACCCAUUGUGAGAGGGGAUUGGUGGUAUUAAGCACACAGCCCUACAAAGAAUGGAGGGAUCGAAGACGUAAUUCAAUGGGUGGGGUGAAGACAGCGAAGGGACGGAGUUUGCUUGGAGGCAAAAUGUGUGUAGGACAAAGUUCUUUCUGUAAUGAGUUCAAACUCCGCCGAGGUUGACUUCGCCUUUCAUCCUUUCGGGGUCGAUAAAUUAAGUACCAGUUACGCACUGCGGUCGAUAUAAUCGACUUAAUUCGUUUCUCUGUCCUUGUUUGUCCCCUCUGUGUCUAGCCCCUUGUGGGUAGUAAAGAAAUAGGUAGGUGUUGGAAAGCGUUGGAAUAUGUAAAUAUAUAGAAUAAGUGCGUGCGUGUGCGUGCGUGCGUGUGCGUGCGUGCGUGUGCGUGCGUGCGUGUGCGUGCGUGCGUGUGCGUGCGUGCGUGUGCGUGCGUUUGCGUGCGUUUGCGUGCGUGCGCGUGUGUGUGUGUGUGUGUGUGUGUGUGUGUGUACGUGUGUGUGUGUGUGUGUGUGUGUGUGCUUGAGCGCACGCGAAAGAAUACAGGCAGCCUCUGUGCGUUGCUUUUGUCAUCUUCGAAAGGCUUUCGAUGGCGUUAAAAUGAACGUAGUGCUCAAAUCUCUGGAAAUUCCAGGUGUCGAGGCGCAACACACCAAGCUGCUCAGGGAGGCGAAAUCUGGUUUCACCAUAAAUAUAGCUCUGCUAUCGCCACCAUAAUAAGCGCUUCACUUGGGAAGAGUGUCAAACAAGGAGACACCAUUUCUCCAAAGCUCUUCACUGCUUCUCCAGAAAUGGUCAUCAGAGUGGUGGCGAACUACAUCAACUAACGGCUCAAAAAGCCCUCUCAUUCUUGCAUAUAUAUAUAUAUAUAUAUAUAUAUGUGUGUGUGUGUGUGUGUGUGUGUGUGUGUGUGUGUGUGUGUGUGUGUGUAAGUAUGUAUGUAUGUAUGUAUGUAUGUAUGUGUAUAUAUAUAUAUAUAUAUAUAUAUAUACAUACACACACACACACACACACACACACAUAUGUAUAUAUACACAUCCGUUCCUAAAAAUGGACAAUGGGGGAUACAUGGUGCUAAAAAAAGGAACGGGGGAGAAGAUGAGAUGGAGUUAGAGGACGAGUGUAAAAGUUGUCUGGAUUAAAAAACGACAAUACGAAUAUGACGUAACUCACAACAAUGUCUUGUUGUAAAAGUGUUGCUCAGGUUAUAACUCGCUCACUUAAUUUGUAUCUAUCAACGGAAGGGAAGGAUUUCAGUUUAAUUGUCUCAUAUUUGGCGACGCUUAUGUUUUUUUUUUCAUGAGACAAAUAUGUUUUUCAAAUAUUUUCAUCUUUCCUUACACACCAACUGCCGAAUCUUCUUCACCAGAUGACUUGAUUAUUUUGCUCUGGGUAUUGAUAGAUACCUAAGCAGUGAGAUUAAAAAUGACAUCUUUUAAUUGAUAGACUUGAUAUCUUCUUUCCAUAUUGUAAGCUCACAAUUAUGUUAAAGAGAAGCUACAGUAUUUUCUCAAUUUAAUGUAAAGUUAAUUAAAACUUUACAGAAAGAGCGGAAGAAAGAAAAAAAUAUACGUAUUGAGAAAGAGCGCCGUGGAAAGCGGUUGGAAAAGAUAGUUGUAAUAAGAAUAAGAGAUAAAGAGAGGGUAUAAAGAAAAGGAGAGACAGUGAUGAGAAAGAAGAAUUAUGUUACAUUGCCACAAGAACCAAAAUAUGUGUGUUGCAGAGUGGAAACUGUUACAGGGCAACUGGUAUUGUUCAUUCAUUCUUAUUACAGCAGUGAACGAAGUAUUUGUGCUUUAAGUUCAGUUGGUGAAGAAGCAAGUGGAAUAUAUUCAGUAUGGCAUCGUUUCGCUAGAAUAUUGGAACUCUAAAUGAUUUUCAUUGUUAUAUGAUCAGCAAGAAUUAGCCAAAAGGAGUUAAGAUCAUUAGUGAUUAUGUGAGAGUACAUUUCCUUAUAAUAUAAACAACUUCCGAAUUGAAAAUAAUAUAAAAAAAUGGAAACCUUUUGUGUUAGUAAAAGAUAAAUCAAACAAAGAGAUAAAGAAAUAAAAUAAAGAAUGGAAUAUCGGUAAUGGAAUCUAAAUUGAAAUAAUAAUGUACGGAUACUAGGAAAAAAAUGGCUCACUGUGAACAUCAGGUUGAUGCUUGGGGCAGUGUGAAUUGAGUAUUGUUUUGUAAAAGCCCUCAUUCAUCGAAUCUCUAUAUCAUUAGUUAGUUUAACUUGAAAACAAUGGCCAGAAACGAGAAUAACGAACGGCUGGGUCAUAUAACCUUCACAGAGCUUGCAAUUGAUAUAGUGGAUUGUUUCUAUUUUCUUUUUCUGGUGCAUGGUAAGUAGGAGGGCGUUUUCAACAAGAUUAUGACCCAAAAGUAUAAAUGGUAAUAAACACUGAAAUAUUCUCCUAUUUAUAAACUCUUUCUCUUUCUCAAUUACUUUGUGCUAUAGCAUGUUUUAUAGUGCAAACAAUUCUGCCACCACCUGACUGACAUUUAAUAUUGUAAUUUAUAUAACAUAAAAAUGAACUCCUGCGUCAUGUUCUUAGUGUUUAAUUUUACAUAUUUUAUGUUGUGUGCUUUUUUAACAUUGCUAUCAAAAGACCAACAUUUAAACGUUAAGCCAUCUAAUUGAACAUGUAAAUUUUUUCAGUUAAUUAUCUAACUAGUUUCGUUUGAGUCAUAUUUUAAUCUUUGUUCCCUGAACAGUGUUUCAGCAAUGAUUAAUGGUAUGCGUUUACUGGAUCAAGGAACAAGCUAAAUAUAUUUAUUUCUAUUAUCUAGUGCCAUUGGAUUGAAAUUGCACCAAACUGUACACUCAGCAACGCCACCCAGCGGACUAAUGCAGUGUCACUAAUCCGUAUUCGUUCUUUCUAAUUACAGUAAAAUAUCUCCUGUAUUGCUCUUUGUAUCCAGUGUAACAGACAAUAAAUUUUCUCUGGUAUUGCAUUGAAGCCUUUGUUCAGCCGUCAAGCUUGCCCCAAUAUGCAAAGGAUUUGUGCCUAACACAGUCUUAUCGAUAUUUUCAUAAGCAGCUCAAUGCUACUGUUGCACAGCAGCUUGGGAAUGGAAGGUAAACAUAAUGUCAAGAGCUCUAAAGAAAGCUUAGGCCAUCAGUUCGAGCCUCAUUCCAACUAUGGCCAAACCGCGAAUGGCAUGAAGGGGUUAUGGGACACUACCUUCAAGAAUUUUAAAUCGAAUAAAUCGAUCUCAGUACUCAUUUUUUCACUUUCUUUAAGCCUGGUACGUAUUCUAUCGGUCUCUUUGCCGAACCGCUAAGUUACGGGAAGGAAUUUGUUUGAAAUGUUUCAAGAUCUAGUUCUGUGUGAUUUAGACGUGAAAUCUGCUCCGUAUAUAAUUGAGUCAGCAUUUUAUGAGUUUGAAACAACAUACUUUUUUUUUAAUUCGCUCUGUUACUUUGUUUUCAUGAAUGUUGUACAAAAUAAAACAUAGUUUUAAAAUUAUUUCUGAAAAUUUCUUGUCAUGAUGGUCGUUAGGCAAACGUUUCUUAAAAAAAAAAAAACAAAGAAAUGUUUAGCUAUGGUAGAUAUAACAUUUAACAAGAAGAGGCUUGUAAACUAGACAAAUUUCCGACAUAUUUUCAUGUUAUGGAGUGACAGGGAUGUAUGAAUGUAUCGAAUAUUAUUUUUAAGCUCAAUAGAUGCUAGCGCGUUAAUAGUACCUGGUGUUUUUUUUUCUUGCUGCUCAUCUAAGCUUGCCACGGAAAGAUAAGUAGCUAAGAUAAUUUAAUAAAUACUCCACUCUCUUAUACAUAUUGAGUACUCUUUAUUAACGCCUGACGUUUUAAUCCAUAAAUUUGGAGCUUAAAUUUCCCACCAAAACAAGCAGCAUGGUCGUGCAAUUUGCAUGAUAUAGCAACCAAAUAAUUACUCCCUAUCAGUUUAGUAAAUAAAAUAUUGUAUAACGUGUUAUGGGGUGCAUUUUCUAUGGAAAAAAAUGCACUGAAUUGUCACAGCUGGAAAAUCUUUGAUCAUACGUGUGAUUAAUCAGGAUAUAUCUUGGGUCAAACACUGACAACUCGAGCGACAAUAAUAUUACUGGCUCCUUUAUAUUUUGGAGGGUCAUAGAAAUAUUUGUUGAAAUGUAGAGCAACGGGAGAAAAGAAUGGCGCUGUUGCUUUUAACAUUAGCUCCAGCUUUAUACUCCACUAGUCCAUGAAUGAUGAUGUAGUUAUCUCUACAUCAUCCAUGUACUUCAAUGGCAUCGGAGACCGUGAAAAGAAUAUAAGGACCACUCUUGCUUCCUUGAACUUUGCUUUAAAGAAGAAAAGGUGAGAAUUUUUAUAUUUAAGCAAAAUCAAAAUCGCUUCGUGGCCUCAUUUCACCGAGCCCUUAAGUUUUGUUCAGUCAUUCAAGACAACGCAGAAUAACUUUGCAUAGUAUGUGUGUGAAGGUAUAUGUGUAUUUGUGUGUACAUGUGUGUUAAAGAGGGAAGGAGACAAAGAGUGAAAGACAGAGAGAAAAAUAUAUUCCAUGAAACUUUGGUAUAUUACUGCUAAUUGUAUUAUUCUUUUAUUCUUUUACUUGUUUCAGUCAUUUUUAACUGUGGCCAUACUGGAGCACCUCUUUUUUAUAUUCGAAGAAAUCGACCCUAGAACUUAUUCAUUGUAAGCCUAGUAUUUAUUUUAUAGUUUUCUUUUCCCGAAUCGCUAAGUUACGGGGACGUAAACACACCAAAAUCGGUUGUCAAGCGAUGGUGGGGUGACAAGCACAAGCACACACACACACACACACACACACACACACACAUAUAUAUAUAUAUAUAUAUAUAUAUAUAUAUAUAUAUAUACAUACAUACGACGGGCUUCUUUCAGUUUCCGUCUACCAAAUCCACUCACAAGGCUUUGGUCGGCCCGAGGCUAUAGUGAAAUAUACUUGCCCAAGGUGCCACGCAGUGGGACUGAACCCCGAACCUUGUGGUUUGGAAGCCAGUUUAUCACCGCCACAUCCAUGCUGGGUGUUAGAAUGACUGGUUAUUCCUGGUUAGCUUGCAGGUUAUUUCUCUCUUUAACAAUGCAAGAAUGAUAAAUAGGCUAAAUUUGUCAAAUCGAUAGAAUUGGGAAUAAUUCUGCAGUUAUUUUUGACUGGUAGAAAGACCUGAUUGCGUAAAAUAUAUUCUGAGAAUAUGAAGACAAAAGGCGAUGAAAACAAAAAAGGAAAGAGUAAAACAUUGAGAAGAGGAGAAAAUGUUGUCGUCGAAAAAAAAAAGAAAAAAAAACUAGGAACUGAAUUUUUUUUUUUUUUUUACACUGAUAGCAAUGUGUUGGAUUGAAAACAAAGGGCUACACAAAUUACAAACCGGUUUCUUUUUAUUUCAGAGAGAACGCAGCUGCAAAAUUGAGAAAUUAUAAUAAUGAAAUGACUGAAAAUUAAAGAAAUGAGGAAGAAAACAAUGCAGCCUCAAUAAUUGUAAAUACUAAUACUGACAAUAG